rnacentral:rRNA from 1 species
UACGUAUGGUGCAAGCGUUAUCCGGAUUUACUGGGUGUAAAGGGAGCGCAGACGGCAAGGCAAGUCUGAUGUGAAAGUCCGAGGCUCAACCUCGGGACUGCAUUGGAAACUGUCUGGCUAGAGUGCAGGAGAGGUAAGUGGAAUUCCUAGUGUAGCGGUGAAAUGCGUAGAUAUUAGGAGGAACACCAGUGGCGAAGGCGGCUUACUGGACUGUAACUGACGUUGAGGCUCGAAAGUGUGGGUAUCAAACAGG